rnacentral:rRNA from 1 species
CACGUAAGGGGCAAGCGUUGUUCGGAAUUAUUGGGCGUAAAGGGCGUGUAGGCGGUUUUGCAAGUCUGGUGUUAAAUCUCACAGCUUAACUGUGGAAGAGCGCUGGAAACUGCAGGACUAGAGUUUAGGAGGGGAAGCUGGAAUUCCAGGUGUAGGGGUGAAAUCUGUAGAUAUCUGGAAGAACACCGGUGGCGAAGGCGAGCUUCUGGCCAUAGACUGACGCUGAUGCGCGAAAGCGUGGGGAGCGAACAGG